rnacentral:rRNA from 1 species
GACGAACGCUGGCGGCGUGCCUAAUACAUGCAAGUAGAACGCUGAAGCGAGGAGCUUGCUCUUCUUGGAUGAGUUGCGAACGGGUGAGUAACGCGUAGGUAACCUGCCUUGUAGCGGGGGAUAACUAUUGGAAACGAUAGCUAAUACCGCAUAACAAUGGAUGACACAUGUCAUUUAUUUGAAAGGGGCAAUUGCUCCACUACAAGAUGGACCUGCGUUGUAUUAGCUAGUAGGUGAGGUAAUGGCUCACCUAGGCGACGAUACAUAGCCGACCUGAGAGGGUGAUCGGCCACACUGGGACUGAGACACGGCCCAGACUCCUACGGGAGGCAGCAGUAGGGAAUCUUCGGCAAUGGGGGCAACCCUGACCGAGCAACGCCGCGUGAGUGAAGAAGGUUUUCGGAUCGUAAAGCUCUGUUGUAAGUCAAGAACGGGUGUGAGAGUGGAAAGUUCACACUGUGACGGUAGCUUACCAGAAAGGGACGGCUAACUACGUG